CAGAACGCAGGCCCCUCAUUGGCCAGAGGGGUCACUAUUGCCCAAUGAGCCUAACCUUGGAACUGCUACCAGGAGCCCUGAGGUAGCUGAAUUCAUCUGAAUCCCAGCUCACUAGAUGAUAUUUUCAAAGACUUGAAAUGGACCUAAACUGGAGGAGAAAAAGAAAGUUUCUUAUCAAUUUUGCAUGACGUAUGAUGGAUGAUCCAGACUGACUGUAAAUACAUA